GAUGAACGCUGGCGGCGUGCCUAAUACAUGCAAGUCGAGCGAACAGAUGAGGAGCUUGCUCCUCUGACGUUAGCGGCGGACGGGUGAGUAACACGUGGAUAACCUACCUAUAAGACUGGGAUAACUUCGGGAAACCGGAGCUAAUACCGGAUAAUAUAUUGAACCGCAUGGUUCAAUAGUGAAAGACGGUUUUGCUGUCACUUAUAGAUGGAUCCGCGCCGCAUUAGCUAGUUGGUAAGGUAACGGCUUACCAAGGCAACGAUGCGUAGCCGACCUGAGAGGUGGAUCGGCCACACUGAACUUGAGACACGUCCCAGACUCCUACGGGAGGCAGCAGUAGGGAAUCUUCCGCAAUGGGCGAAAGCCUGACGGAGCAACGCCGCGGGAGUGAUGAAGGUCUUCGGAUCGUAAAACUCUGUUAUUAGGGAAGAACAAAUGUGUAAGUAACUAUGCACGUCUUGACGGUACCUAAUCAGAAAACCACGGCUAACUACGU
rnacentral:rRNA from 1 species